UACGGAGGGUGCGAGCGUUAAUCGGAAUUACUGGGCGUAAAGGGUGCGUAGGUGGUUUGAUAAGUUAUCUGUAAAAGCCCUGGGCUCAACCUGGGAAGGCCAGAUAAUACUGUUGAACUAGAGUAUGGGAGAGGGUAGUGGAAUUUCCGGUGUAGCGGUGAAAUGCGUAGAGAUCGGAAGGAACACCAGUGGCGAAGGCGGCUACCUGGCCUAAUACUGACACUGAGGCACGAAAGCGUGGGGAGCAAACAGG
rnacentral:rRNA from 1 species